GUCGAGCGGAGCGAUUUUGAAGCUUGCUUUCAAAUCAUUUAGCGGCGGACGGGUGAGUAACACGUAGGCAACCUGCCCCUUAGACUGGGAUAACUACCGGAAACGGUAGCUAAUACCGGAUAAUUCCUUUCUUCACCUGAAGGAAGGAUGAAAGACGGAGCAAUCUGUCACUGAGGGAUGGGCCUGCGGCGCAUUAGCUAGUUGGUGAGGUAACGGCUCACCAAGGCGACGAUGCGUAGCCGACCUGAGAGGGUGAACGGCCACACUGGGACUGAGACACGGCCCAGACUCCUACGGGAGGCAGCAGUAGGGAAUCUUCCGCAAUGGGCGAAAGCCUGACGGAGCAAUGCCGCGUGAGUGAUGAAGGUUUUCGGAUCGUAAAGCUCUGUUGCCAGGGAAGAACGUCUCAUAGAGUAACUGCUAUGAGAGUGACGGUACCUGAGAAGAAAGCCCCGGCUAACUACGUGCCAGCAGCCGCGGUAAUACGUAGGGGGCAAGCGUUGUCCGGAAUUAUUGGGCGUAAAGCGCGCGCAGGCGGCUAUUUAAGUCUGGUGUUUAAACCUUGGGCUCAACCUAAGGUCGCACUGGAAACUGGGUGGCUUGAGUACAGAAGAGGAAAGUGGAAUUCCACGUGUAGCGGUGAAAUGCGUAGAUAUG
rnacentral:rRNA from 1 species